AGAGAAUUGCUUGAACCUGGGAGGCAGAAGUUGCAGUGAGCUGAGAUUGCGCCACUGCACUCUAGCCCAGGCAACAGUG
rnacentral:snRNA from 1 species